rnacentral:rRNA from 1 species
CCGUAGCCCAAGAGAUCGGGAUAACACCUGGAAACAGAUGCUAAUACCGGAUAACAACAGAUGAUGCCUAUCAACUGUUUAAAAGAUGGUUCUGCUAUCACUCUUGGAUGGACCUGCGGUGCAUUAGCUAGUUGGUAGGGUAACGGCCUACCAAGGCGAUGAUGCAUAGCCGAGUUGAGAGACUGAUCGGCCACAUUGGGACUGANACACGGCCCAAACUCCUACGGGAGGCAGCAGC